ensembl:lncRNA
AAACCUAACACUAACAAUUCCACAACAAAACCUAAUAUCUAACAAAUUUCACAACAAAACCUAAUAUUUAACAAUUCCACAACAAAACCUAAUAGACACAAUCACAGACACACACACAGCCUUCCCAUAACCACUACUUUGAUAAGAGGAUGGAAUCCAGAGUUCCCCCAGGACCCAUACUGAUGUACUGUCUUCAGUCUGUCCAGAUCCCCCAGGACCCACACGGCUGCACUGUCUUCAGUCUGUCCAGAGAUCCCCCAGGACCCACACUGCUGCACUGUCUUCAGUCUGUCCAGAGAUCCCCCAGGACCCACACUGCUGCACGUGUCUUCAGUCUGCCAGAGAUCCCCCAGGACACACACUGCUGCACUGUCCUUCAGUCUGUCCAGAGAUCCCCCAGACCCACACUGCUGCACGUCUUCAGCGUCUGUCCAGAGAUCCCCCAGACCCCACACUGCUGCACUGUCUUCAGUCUGUCCAGGCUCCGCUCCCUCUCCUCCCCCUGUCUCCCCUCCCCCUCUCCUCCCCUGAUCUCCACCACUCUCCCCCCAUCCUCCCCCACCCAUCUCCCCCUCCCCUAUCAUCUCCCCUCACUCAUCUCCCUCCCCCUCCACUCCCCCUCUCCUCCCCUAUCUCACCUCCCCUAUCUCCACUCCCCCUCUCCUCCCCCUAUCUCCCCUCCCCAUCUCCCUCCCCUAUCCUCCCCACUCUCCCCUCUCCUCCCCCUAUCUCCCCUCCCCUAUCUCCCCUCUCCCCUUGUCCCACUCCCCCUCUCCUCCCCAUCUCCCCUCCCCUAUCUCCCCUCUCCCCGUCUCCCACUCCCCCUCUCCUCCCCACUCCCCUCCCCUAUCUCUCCCCUCACCCUAUCCCACCCCCUCUCCUCCCCAUCUCCCCUCCCCUAUCUCCCCUCCCCUAUCUCCACUCCCCCUCGUCCUCCCAUCUCCCCUCCCCUACUCCCCUCACCUAUCUCCAUCCCACUGUCUCUCUUCCCAAAUGUCCAGGUCUGUAUGAUUUAGGUCGACAUCAAUCUUUCUCCUGUUAUUGCAUUAUUCACUAUUCAUUCUUUAGGCUCCCAUGUAGUUCCUUGCCUUAUUGAGGUGUGUGUGGGGUGUGUGUGUGUGUGUUGUGUGUGUGUGUGUGUGUGUGUGUGUGUGGUGUGUGUGGUGUGUGUGUGUGGGUGUGUGUGUGGGUGUGUGUGUGUGUGUGUGUGUGUACAAACUCCAUGGUGGCUGUAUAAAUGUUUGGAAUUGUUUUGUUAGUCUGUAGAAUUAUUGUGUCAUCUGAUAGGAGACGGAGGGGGUUAGGUCACUAUGUGGAGAACUGUCACAGAGCACAAGCACGAGCUGUCGUAGACACACACACACACACCCUCUCAGCAGCGUGCGUAGAGUCAGCAGUGUCACAAGGCACAGAUGGUUGUGUGACGUGUCAGUGCUCUGGCUCCAGGCAUACACACACACAGCAGAUAAAGCAUCCCCUCCCCUCUCCCUCACCCCUCCUCACCUCUCCUCUCCUCUCCUCACCUCUCCUCUCCUCUUUUCUCCUCCCUUCCUGCAUCAACCNNNNNNNNNNNNNNNNNNNNNNNNNGCGCUUAAGUCGAGAGCGAAA